CGUAGCCAGGAUUUAGGUAAGGGGGGGGCAGACCCUCACAUGGUUAAGUGUUUGGUAUUGAUUUAAUUGAUUUGGAGGGAGCUGCCCAUGGGCGUGGCCAGGAUUUUGUUUGGGGGGGGCAGGCUUUUGUUGGGGGGAAGGAACCUCAGAUUUAUAUUGAUUUUUACUGAUUAGGGGGGCAGCUGCCCCCCCUGGCUAUGCCCAUGUGCCAUUUCUCCAUCAGCGGAAGCUUUGGGACCAGAUCGCCCAGCGUUGUCUUGCGCUCUGCGCUGGUGGUGGCAAGCAGGUUCACCUGGGCUGCGUCCGGACAGGGCUGGUGCACCCAUAAGCAGAGCCGUCUUACCCAUAGGUGCUAGGGGUGCCGGGCACCAGGCCGAGAGCCCAGGCCCAAGAGUUGAGUCUGGGGAAGAGCCCACCCGUCGGAGUGCUGGGCCUCAAGUUUGGGGGCAGCCAAGCCAGCAAGACGCUGAGGCGGCCGGCCGGCUCCACCCUCCUGUGUGCCCGGGACUAGGCAACUGGGGGGGGGCGGUGCCAGGUGGAUCUUUGCCCUCUGGUACCGCCUAUGCUUAAAACAGCCCUGCCUAUAAGGCAAGGUGAGGCCACCGCCAGGGGCAGCAGAUCCAAAAGCAGGUCUCUGUCCCCCCCACCCUCAUGUUCCAGAUGUAGACCUUAGGUCACCCCAUCUUCCCUGGAGGCAACACCAACUCUGGGCUGAGCCCCCCCCCCCAGUCUUGAGGGGCGUGGCCUCAUCAGGUGGUGGGGUCCUGUUGGGCCGUGUGGGGCCUCCCUGCAGCUGUGGUGGGCCUCACAGCCUCCUCCCACUGCGUGCAUGCGCAUCAUGCAUGUGAUGACACACACGGAUGCCGCCCCCUUCCAAAGCUAGGCAGAACCAGGCGCCUGUGCCUGCCAGGGAAGCGGAACUGCCGUUUUGUGGUUCACCUCAGGUGCCAUUAUGUCUUGGGCUGGUUCUGUGUGCCACAUUUUAUGAAGAAAAGGGAGCAUGUCCAGAGUAUGCUAUGGGGUCUCGGAACCAAGAUGAGAAAUGGUUGAAAAAGUCGGGUAUGAUUAGCUGGAAGAGGAGAAGAUGAAGAGACUUUUUAGUAGGUUUUCAAAUGUUUGAACGGUUGUUACGAAUAAGAUGGAGUGGGUUUGUUCAUUUAAAGCACCUAGGAAUUGUAGUUCACCUAUCACAGAGUUACUUUUCCCAGCACCCUUAACAAACUACAGUUCCCAGGAUUCUUUGGGGGCAAGCAGUGUGGAGACAGCCCUAGGAAGCUGGACUACUGCAGUAUGGGGUCCGUGGGGACUGUCCAUAGGGUGGAGGUUCCUCCUCCUUAGUCUCAGUGUCCUCAAGGGCACCAGCAACUGCUGCUUCCGGCUUCUAAAACCACAUGAUUCUCCAUGUGAGGGCAAGUAGUCCUUCAGCUAUUCUGCUCUUAGGCAAGUUGAACAGAAAUUUUACAGGGCUUCUGCACUUUGGAGGUAUCAGUGGGUUCUUAAUGCAGUUGCAGCCCUAUUAAAAAAACUGGGGAACUCCAGAUGUUUUGCAGGAGGCAUUCAAGCACAUGCCAGACGUCUAAGCAUGUGCAGUUAAAGUGGUUGAACAUGCACAGCAAAUUCACUUUUUAAAAGAAAAUGGAAAAAGGAGGGGCAAAUGCACUGAAAAGUGUGGGAUGAACAUAUGAUUAGUGGGAAGAUGUAUAAACACCACAGAUACAGAUCAAGAGGAAUACCCGUUGUCGUGUAUGGCAGGACAAAUACUCAGUAAAUACCAGAUAUAGUCUAACCAGCAUGUAAGCUUCCUGAUAGCAAACCGGGAGGAAUGAUCACUAAACGGGUUUCUCUGGAGGAACUCUACCACAGGGGCAUGGCCUUGGAUCAGUAGUGUAGGGACAAAUUCAGAUGUACAUUGUUCCUUCACACUCACAGGACAAAUCCUGCACAGCCACCCACCCUUCUAAGAUUAUCCAACCUUCUAAAAGCAUACAAUAAUCUUAUAAUUAGACAAUAAUAAUUAGCAAUGCAUUGCAAAGUUCAGUGCAGAUGUCCACGUGCUACUUUUAAGCCAAAUCUGCUAUUUCCUGCAGUGAUGAUUGGGCAAAUGAUUUGGAGUGCUACAGUAUCUUCUUUCGGAGUGAUUUAAGUUGUGUUUUCCUUGGCGCUUCUCCUGAAGCUAACGUACCUUGUGUUUUCAGUGUUCCUUAAUACUUAGCUUUGGAGCAUACAGAAGCAUAGCUGUCAACCGUCCCUUAUUUGGCGGGAAAGUCCCCCUGCUGUCCCUUAUUGAUGAUGUCCCUUAAUUUUUCUGGGUUUCAAUGGAAGCAGCUCCUCUCCCUCCCUCCCUGCCAGCCAGGGAGGAGGGAGGCUCCAACUGUGUUUUUUGGCUGCGUUGCUCACCCAAUAAGGAGUCUAAGAACGACUGGGGGGUGGAGCUUGUAUGCCUUGUGCCGAUCAAAUCGGCCGCGUUGCCUGGGGACUCGCCUUUGCUCAGCGCUUCCCAGCGGAGAGGUGACGGUGGUUUUCCUUGAGGCUUGAGGCCUCGUUUGGCUGCUGGCUGGGCUUUCUGCCUUUGGCUCGGAGGGCUCAGAAGUUGAACAUACCUGUGCUCUGAAAAUCCCUUAUUUUGGCUGCUGAUCCCUUAUUUUCGAGGCUGCUUUUCAAAUCUGUAAGAUGACAGCUAUGUACAGAAGGACUUCUCGGUGCCCUUCCUGCGCGUCUUCUCCAAAGUGACCCUAGGAGUCAAUACUUUGUGGCUGACUCACUUCCUUUCAUCAUCAUUGACUCCAAUCAGCAGAAAGGGCGAGAGGGCUUCUCAUUCAGUGGUUAAAAAGCUCUCCUUUCAUGCCGGCCUGGUGGUUCUAGGGUGCUGGAAACAGGGCCCCUGCCACAGAAAUAGAAAUGGGACUUUAAGCCCAUCCCGCAACCCUGUGGCACUACACCUCAGCCUAAGAUUAUAUGUCAAAGGAACAUACAUCAUCAGACACUCUGUUCUAGAGGCAACUUCCCAAAGGUCCAUUUGAACCACAUUUGCUUUGCUCGUCGCUUUAAGACAUACACUGCUUUCCAUCUCUGCUCAGGGUCUGGAAAAUAUUACAUGUUCCUUUUUGGCAGUGAUGAAAUAAACAACAAUUCACUCUGGACUUGGUAGCUGCUUAAUUUCGCUGCAAAGCAAUUAUGGAGGCUAAUGGAUUCCUUGCAGGGUUUGCACUCUUAGGAUCUGUGCUGUUAACGCCAGUGUUUGAGGUUUAUCUUCCUGUCUGUUUGACCUCAUAAGAAAAAAUCCUACCAGAUUUCAUCAUGUUUAAUUAUUAAAGUAACCCUUUGGGAUGCCAGUUAGGAUUUUGGACAUGACUUUGGGUAAGUGCUUCUCUUGGUGUUAAUUAGAAAAGCUGAUUGCCAAAGAACCUCCAGCACAAAUAGCUACUGUUAUCUAACAGCCUGCACAUGGGAUUGAUACUUAUACACUGAAGACAACUUACUUUUCCAUCUUUUGCAGGUUAGGUCAGAAUGAGGCCCCACUGAAUCCUUUCCUCCCUGGAAAGGGUGCAUAGAAUGGCAACCUUACAGAGCUGCCCUGCCCCUUUCUUCCCAAGCACUUUGUCAUUGAGUCUCUUUUCCACCUGUUAAAUUUUAGAGGGUCUGUUUCUGUUUGCAUUGGGGCAGGAAGCCUUGCAGCACCUGUGGCUUUGCUAAAGAGGUACAAAGCUCCCUUCCUCUUUUUAUUCAGAAACUUUGUACUUGUCUUAUUAUGUAAGAUGACUCUUCUGUGUGGUAUCUGAAGAAGUGUGCAUGCACACGAAAGUUUAUACCCAGAACAAACUUAGUUGGUCUCUAAGGUGCUACUGGACAAUCUUUUAUUUAUUUCGACUAUGUAGUAUGGUUACUGGCCAACCCAAUCUCUGCUGAGCAGUGCAUGAGAUACCAAGGGUAUUGGCACUUAACUAGGGUUUAAUCCAUGGGUAGGCAAACUAAGGCCCGGAGGCCGGAUCAGGCCCAAUUGCCUUCUAAAUCCGGCCCGCGGACGGUCGGGGAAUCAGCAUGUUUUUACAUGAGUAGAAUCUGUCAUUUUAUUUAAAAUGCACCUCUGGGUUAUUUAUGGGGAACAGGAAUUUGUUCAUUUUCUUUUUUUCCAAAAUACAGUCCGGCCCCUGCUGACCCCUUUAAUCUUCAGAAGAUUAAGGCACAAUAGAGGCUAUAGUGUCUUUAUGAAACAUGGUGUAUUUACACAUAUUUACAACCUGAAGCCUUCAGUGAAGGGGCGUGCAGAACAUUGCAGCCAAAGAGUGUUUCUUGUUGCUUCUCCCAUAACUCCAGCCAACUGGAAGCAGAAGCCAACCAUGCGCCCAGUCUCUCUUGAGUAUGGCCUCUCCCAGCCAACCCACAUGGAGUUCUCCCCUGCUGCUUCUUUCCAGAACCCCUUGCCAAAUGCAAAUCCCGCUUCCAUUUACAUCAUUGCUUUCUGUGAGCCUGGAAACCUCCUCCUCCUGUCUCUGCCUGCUAAAAAAUUGCGUUGUCAAUUGCCCAAAUACUUCCCUUAAUACUCCGAAUAUUACUCCUAAUAUUUCCCUUAAUACUCCAAAUAUUAGUUACAUUAUAACAUCUACUAAUUUAAUAAUUUAGGGGGAUUCCCCCCACCAAAGCUCAUAAAAGUAUGCUACAGGAAGGAAGGCAUCCUCAUGUCUUGUGGAGAAGGUUGCUUGCUCUUAGAAUAAAUGGCAAAAUAGUGAUAUACCUAGGAAGCUGCUUUAGCGAGUCAGACCAUUGGUCAGUUUAGCUCAGUAUUGUCUAUAGUGACUGGCUUUCUAUCUCUGGGAUUUCAGAUGGUCUUUCUUUCCUAGCCCUACCUGGAUAUUAAAAUGGGUUUUUUCCAUGCAAAGCAGGUGCUCUACUACUGAGAUAUGGCCCUUCCUCUAAACCGGGGAAUUACGGGUUUUCGGCUAUGUGUAAAAGGAGAUUGGAAUGCUCUCCCUUUAGAAAUGUUGCUUAAUGAAGAAUAUUCUUACUUGUUAGAGAAACAAGGACGUGAAAAUGAAGGGAGGCAUGGAAACAAGAUGGAAUAGCAGGCCCCUAAAAGUUCUGAAGAAACAUCCAUACUCGGGAGGAACAAGGCACCCUGAGCAGGUUGGUGGGAUGGCAAGGUAACAGCGACUUGCCUUCUUUUGUGACAUCUCUUGCUGCCGUCUUAAAAUUCACUAUCCCAGGGGUGUCUAGGGUGGGAGUCUGAGUAUGUGUCAGAGAGGAGAGAGCAGAGGAGGCUUUUGUUUAUUUUAUUUAUGUUGCUGCUUAUAAUCUGUUUAGAUCUUGGUUUACUUUGUUACUUAUACCUUGUUUGUUCAUAGAAUCAUAGAGUUGGAAGAGACCACAAGGGCCAUCGAGUCCAACCCCCUGCCAAGCAGGAAACACCAUCAGAGCACUCCUGACAUAUGGUUGUCAAGCCUCUGCUUAAAGACCUCCAAAGAAGGAGACUCCACCACACUCCUUGGCAGCAAAUUCCACUGUCAAACAGCUCUCACUGUCAGGAAGUUCUUCCUAAUGUUUAGGUGGAAUCUUCUUUCUUGUAGUUUGGAUCCAUUGCUCCGUGUCCGCUUCUCUGGAGCAGCAGAAAACAACCUUUCUCCCUCCUCUAUGUGACAUCCUUUUAUAUAUUUGAACAUGGCUAUCAUAUCACCCCUUAACCUCCUCUUCUCCAGGCUAAACAUGCCCAGCUCCCUUAGCCGUUCCUCAUAAGGCAUCGUUUCCAGGCCUUUGACCAUUUUGGUUGCCCUCCUCUGGACACGUUCCAGUUUGUCAGUGUCCUUCUUGAACUGUGGUGCCCAGAACUGGACACAGUACUCCAGCUGAGGUCUGACCAGAGCAGAAUACAGUGGCACUAUUACUUCCCUUGAUCUAGAUGCUAUACAACUAUCGAUGCAGCCCAGAAUUGCAUUGGCUUUUUUAGCUGCCGCGUCACACUGUUGGCUCAUGUCAAGUUUGUGGUCAACCAAGACUCCUAGAUCCUUUUCACAUGUACUGCUCUCAAGCCAGGUGUCACCCAUCUUGUAUUUGUGCCUCUCAUUUUUUUUGCCCAAGUGCAUGUUUUUGUCCUUUCUUUUAGACAGAUAUUUAGAGAUGAGGUCAUGUUACUAAAGUGGGUAUUUUAGAUUAGAGUCUUGCAAGUUGUCUGGGGUGGGGGGACGACUCCCACUUUGUCAAACUGCUGGAAAACAGAAAGGAAAGGAAGAGUGUGGUCACUGCUUCCCUGGAGUUAGACCGUGCAUUGCCGAAGAUGCUUGUGCACUACAGGGUCUCAUGGAACUGGCAGAUCAUGCAGGAGGUUUCUGCAUAGCGAAGUGUCUGAGGAGGAGCAUAAAGAUUGAGGAGGCAUUGCUGGGGGAGUGAGAAUAUGGAGAGGUUUGAUAAGGUUGAUACAAUAAUGCUAAAAAUCCGUAAUCUGUUCUCUCUCCCUCCUUUCCACAUCCUCUCCUGAAUCUACAGAUCCAUCUCUAUGAAAAUGAUCUUCGCCAUAAGGAUCACCAAGAAAUCUUUAAAUUGAUGCUGAGGAGCCUUCUUUCAGAGGCCCCAACCAUCAAGACAUUACCGUGCAUGUUGAAGUGAAUGUGUUGAUGGCGUGACAUUACGUCUCAUUUCAGCAGAGCGGCUCACCCCUUCAACCCGUGUUUUGUCAGCAGAAUCACCCACUGUUCACCCCUUGGGUCCUUCCACUGCCGGCAGGCAAGCUGAACACCCUGGAGACUUCGGGACAAGCAUGCUUCAUGACGGGUUGUGGUCUGUGCUCCUGUUUUCUCGAGACAGACGAAGUUGCAAGAUGAGAGAAAAAGGGGGAGCAGCUGAAGGCGAAGUUGCCCCAACGCCCAAGUGGGGUUCUUAGGAGGCAAAAGUUCCAGGCGGCACAACAAGGGGUUUCCCCUCCUCAAAUUUGAACAAAACUGAGAACUGAGCAAAGAGUAGAGGGGAAAACCUCAGCGCUCUGAACGAAAAGCACUCACACUUGCCAACAUCUUGAAACCCGAGUGAACAGCACUGGUCUACUCUGCAAAAAUAGGGAAUUAAAAAUCAACCAACUGCAUCCCAAUAACAAGCAAAAAGCAAGGAGCAAAGAGGUACGUGAAGGGGAUGGCAGCAACCACGAAACAACAACGAAAAGCGUGAGGGAAGGAUUAAGGUGGGUCUACCUCAAUGCAGUUGUUAAACUGUAAAACUACGCUGUGAAAAUGCAGAAGAUGCUUACGCACUACUGCAGGGGUCGGCAACGUGCGGCCCAUGGGCCGGAUGCAGCCCAUGGACUGUUUUUCUGGCCCACAAGCCGCCCCCAAACCCAGCCGCCCACCUGGCGAGUCCCCGCAUGCUGCACUAAACCAGCGUGGCGUGGGGACUCGCCGAGUGGUGCCAGAAAUUGUGUCUGCGCAUGUGCAGAUACCAGAAAUCAUGUUUGCGCAUGCCCAGAUGUUGGAAAUCACGCCUGUGCAGAAGCGAUUUUCGGCCUCUGGGCAUGUGCAGAAGCAAUUUCCAGCAUUGUGCCGCACCAGUCUGGCCCACGGACAAUCUCCGUGGGAGUGAUCCAGCCCAUGGCUGGUAAACCUUGUCAACCCCUUCACUACAGGGUCUCAUGAAACUGGCAGAUCACGCAGGAGGUUUCUGCAUAGUGAAGUGUUUGAGGAGGAGCAUAAAGAUUGAGAAGGCAUUCCUGGGGGAGUGAGAAUACUUAUCAAACGGAGGUUUGAUAAGGUUGAUACAGUAGUGCUAAAAAUCCAUAAUCUGUUCUCUCUCCCUCCUUUCCACAUCCUUUCCUGAAUCUACAGAUCCAACUGUAUGAAAAUGAUCUUCGCCAUCAGGAUCACCAAGAAAUAUUUAAAUUGAUUCUGAGGGGCCUCCUUUCAGAGGCCCCAACCAUCAAGACAUUACCAUGCAUGUUGAGGUGAAUGUGUUGAUGGUGUGAUGUUACGUCUCAUUUCAGCAGAGCCGGCAGGGAGGCUCACCCAUCGUUCAGUCCUUGGGCCUUUCCACUGCCGGCAGGCAAAGCUGAACACCCUGGAACAGCACUAGCCCACAUAUCUGGCAAGGGAUCUCUCUCUCCUGGUGUGCAAGAGGGAUGGUGGUCUUGAUUCUGAGGGGCUUUUUCCUCCUAUAGAGCUGAGCCUUUGCAUGAUAACAAGCUGAGGAGAAGAUGGGCCUGGCUGUCAGCAGCAUCCAAUAUCUGCUGGCAUGUGCAGGGAAGUUUCCCAACCUGAUCUUAUGCAUCUCACCUUCAUUCCCUUAUUUCAAAUAGUUUGAGGACAAAUGACACCAGAGGUGGGUGUAGCAUGGUCUCCCCGUGGGGCCAUGAUGGUUCAGGUGGCAUUUUUUGCCCUCCCUCUUGGACAACUCCCGUCAUCCCUGACCACUGGUCCUGUUAGCUAGGGAUGAUGGAAGUUGUAGUCCCAAAACAUCUGGAGGGCCGAUUUUGCCUAUGCCUGCCAUAGAGUUUCCUUUGAGGUAAAGGAGUGGAGCUGAACAUCUGGAUCUCACUUAGUUCUGCUUUGGAUUUCUCUUGUACCAACUCUCUGGGUUGGGAUGUACGUGUCCAAAAACAAAGGACCUGAUUUUCUUGUCUCAGCAGUUGGUAUCCAUUAAAGAUACCUUCUUUCCAGAACUGGCCUGGCUGUGCCCCUGAAACAGAAGCUAAGAUCCCCAUGUGGAAUUCAGAAUGAACUGACAGGCCUCACUUUCCAGACUAAAGCCAUCACCUGUAGCUUAACUGGGACCUGAGGACAGCCUGCUUCACAGCUGUAACAUGGAGUCUUGAAAUCCCAGUCUUUCACCAUGGCCAAAAAGCAGGGAGGGGAUGGGGAGGCAGUUGCCAGCUGCUGUGUCAAUGUUCAGGUUUUUGUAUGAAAAUACAAUGAACUCAGUUCUGAUGUUGCAAAUAAAUCAUUGGGCUGAGCAGGUGCUUAGAGGCACUCUGUUCUUAUAGCUAUCUGUGUAUGUCUGCUCCCACUCUGUGCAUCAGUUUUGCACCUGGUUUGGGUUGGAACAUGGGGGGGGGGGAGUUACAGUAAAAUACAAAGCCAAGCCUGAAGUCUGCCCGUCCCUGUUAGGAAGAAUAAACUGUAUCAAGUGUUAUAAAUAGCAAUAUGCUGUUUGACUCAUCUGCUUUUGUGUGCCUGUAUAAUUAGUGGUGCAGGCACUCUCUGUGGGUCUGAGCUUGGGAAGCCUAAAGGAACAGAACGUCGUGAGGAGCAACUGGAUGAGGGGAAAAAUUGAAUACCACAAAUUGACUUGCAAUAACAAACCCCUGAAGAGUGGGAGAGGCAAAGCCCAGGGUGAGCAGGCAGAUUUCUCCUUUUUCCAGUCUUUGAGUCCUCAUUAAAAGUAAUCAGCAUUUAAGUGCAAAUUUCUCCUAAUAUCCACAUUUUUGCAAACCAAUUCCCCCUAAUGCAACACAAGUUUGAAUAUUACUUUCAUGAACAUACAGCAUACACAUUGGUGGGCUUUGCUGGCCCUUGCAAGGGCAGCAGAUCUCACAGGGCCUCCCGGCAGCAGGUCUUGCCAGGCUGCGUGUUCAGUUUGGGUUUUUUUGAAUGGGGCUAUACAUUUAAACAAAGUAAACAAACAAGCCACACCCCGCCAGCAGUUGCUUCUGAGCAAUUCCAAAUAAAAUGAACGGGAGCCGUGCAAAAGCCCAGUCAUAUGCCGUGGGGGUGGGGACUCGAUUUCUUUCUUUGUGGUUCUGCUAAUGGAGGCUGAUCUGGCGAUUACUUAAGGGAAGUGGCUCAGGUUAAUGGGAAGGAAAGUAUUGGCUGGGGAAGAAGAGAUUGAUGAGAAAGGCAAGAUUAAUUCUUGCUGCGCAGUCUGGGGUCAGCAGGAUAGCGAAGAUAUUGUUCAUGGAAAAUUGAGCGCUGGUCUUUCCAUUACUGAUAUUAAAAGGUUCCAGGCAAGCAUUAGGCAUACAUCUGGAAAUAAUCUGCUGUUUUGCACAGGGAAGUGCUUUGGUGUGUGUGGACCUCUCAGGUCUCUGCUUAAGGCUUCUGCGUUCAUUCCUCACCCUCCUUUCUACCACAGGUGCCCAAAUUAGGAGGGGGAGGAAUCAUUCCAUUUUGGUUUCUCAUUAAGUUCAGUUCUCCACAAAAGCUUGAGAUUUUUAAAAAAGUCCUCAUGAAGAUUUGUCAGCAUUUUUGUGCAUGUUUCUUCCAAUAUACAUAUUUUGGUGUGCUAUUUUGCCCAAUAUACAAAUUUUUGCAAGCGAUGUCCCCAUCAUAUAAUUCAUUUUUGUUACGCAGAGUUGGCAAAGUUAACAGAUAAACUUCGUGAAAAAGACAAUAGUGAUUUUGAAAAAUAAUGGGAACCUUUUACAUCAUAUUUGCAGAAGCAACAAAAAAACAUAGAACCAUUGGCAGGAUUUUAAUAAACAUUUGCAACUUUAUUUAUGAAAAACAAGAAACAUAACAGUACGACAACAAGAAGUAUAUACAAACAGCAGAAUGUAAUAUGAGAUGUAAUAAACCUGGGAUGGAAGUUGAGGGAAGUCAGUAGGGAAGGGGGAAAUUGAAAUUUGAAUGUAAUGAUUAUAGAUAUUGUUAUAAGAGAAAAAAAUCUAAUAAAAAUGAAUUCAUUUU